rnacentral:rRNA from 1 species
GAAGAGAGAGUUCAAGAGUACGUGAAACCGUCUGGGAGUAAACGGGUGGUUCCCGAAAGUACGAAAGGGGAGAUUCAGGUCUCGCUGCGCGUCGGGCGGCGCCCGCGAUCAGAGAUGGCGUUCUCGCGGCCGGGGGGCGACCCUCGGUCCGGGANNNGCUCCACUCCGCGGGCGCCGUAUUAGUUCCCGACGCCGGAGUGACGCACUUCUCCCCCAGUAGAACGUCGCGACCCGUCGGGCGCCGGCCUAAGGUCCCGGGUGGAGUCUGUGCAGCUCGCUGCGCAUGACCCCGGGGAUCCCGGCCGGGUGCUCGACGGUACGAAGAGAGGAAGGAGUCGACGCGCCGAUCAUCUCGGCGUCCGGCCCUCCGCAAGCGCCCGCGGGAGUCCGAGACUCCGGGCCCGGCCCGGUCUCGCUCCCUCCGCGGGGCUGUUUGCGAUCAGGAGGUGUCCUCGGAC